rnacentral:rRNA from 1 species
AGUGAACGCUGGCGGUAUGCCUAACACAUGCAAGUCGAACGGCAGCACAGUAAGAUCUUGCUCUUACGGGUGGCGAGUGGCGGACGGGUGAGGAAUACAUCGGAAUCUACUUUUUCGUGGGGGAUAACGUAGGGAAACUUACGCUAAUACCGCAUACGACCUACGGGUGAAAGCAGGGGAUCUUCGGACCUUGCGCGAUUGAAUUAGCCGGUUCGGGAUUAGCUAGUGGGGGGGGUAAAGGCCCACCAAGGCGACGAUCCGUAGCCGGUCUGAGAGGAUGAUCAGCCACACUGGAACUGAGACACGGUCCAGACUCCUACGGGAGGCAGCAGUGGGGAAUAUUGGGCAAUGGGCUCAAGCCUGAUGCAGCAAUACCGCGUGGGUGAAGAAGGCCUUCGGGUUGUAAAGCCCUUUUGUUGGGAAAGAAAAGCAGCAGGUUAAUACCCCGCUGUUCUGACGGUACCCAAAGAAUAAGCACCGGCUAACUUCGUG